CACGUGGGCACCUGCCUGUAGACUGGGAAACUCCGGGAAACCGGGGCUAAUACCGGAUAACCCGUUCCACCUCAUGGUGGAGCGGUAAAAGAUGGCCUCUGGCUAUCACUUACAGAUGGGCCCGCGGCGCAUUAGCUAGUUGGUAAGGUAACGGCUUACCAAGGCGACGAUGCGUAGCCGACCUGAGAGGGUGAUCGGCCACACUGGGACUGAGACACGGCCCAGACUCCUACGGGAGGCAGCAGUAGGGAAUCUUCCGCAAUGGACGAAAGUCUGACGGAGCAACGCCGCGUGAGUGAUGAAGGUUUUCGGAUCGUAAAGCUCUGUUGUUAGGGAAGAACAAGUGCCGUUUGAAUAAGGCGGCACCUUGACGGUACCUAACCAGAAAGCCACGGCUAACUACGUGCCAGCAGCCGCGGUAAUACGUAGGUGGCAAGCGUUGUCCGGAAUUAUUGGGCGUAAAGCGCGCGCAGGCGGUCUCUUAAGUCUGAUGUGAAAGCCCACGGCUCAACCGUGGAGGGUCAUUGGAAACUGGGAGACUUGAGUACAGAAGAGGAGAGUGGAAUUCCACGUGUAGCGGUGAAAUGCGUAGAUAUGUGGAGGAACACCAGUGGCGAAGGCGACUCUCUGGUCUGUAACUGACGCUGAGGCGCGAAAGCGUGGGGAGCAAACAGGAUUAGAUACCCUGGUAGUCCACGCCGUAAACGAUGAGUGCUAGGUGUUAGGGGUUUCGAUGCCCUUAGUGCCGAAGUUAACACAUUAAGCACUCCGCCUGGGGAGUACGACCGCAAGGUUGAAACUCAAAGGAAUUGACGGGGGCCCGCACAAGCAGUGGAGCAUGUGGUUUAAUUCGAAGCAACGCGAAGAACCUUACCAGGUCUUGACAUCCUUUGACCACUCUAGAGAUAGAGCUUUCCCCUUCGGGGGACAAAGUGACAGGUGGUGCAUGGUUGUCGUCAGCUCGUGUCGUGAGAUGUUGGGUUAAGUCCCGCAACGAGCGCAACCCUUGAUCUUAGUUGCCAGCAUUCAGUUGGGCACUCUAAGGUGACUGCCGGUGACAAACCGGAGGAAGGUGGGGAUGACGUCAAAUCAUCAUGCCCCUUAUGACCUGGGCUACACACGUGCUACAAUGGAUGGUACAAAGGGCUGCAAAACCGCGAGGUUGAGCGAAUCCCAUAAAGCCAUUCUCAGUUCGGAUUGUAGGCUGCAACUCGCCUACAUGAAGCCGGAAUUGCUAGUA
rnacentral:rRNA from 1 species